rnacentral:rRNA from 1 species
GACGAACGCUGGCGGCGUGCUUAACACAUGCAAGUCGAACGGACAGGCCCUGCUUUUGUUGGGUGCUCGAGUGGCGAACGGGUGAGUAACACGUGAGUAACCUGCCCUUGACUUUGGGAUAACUUCAGGGGACUGGGGCUCAUACCGGAUAGGAGCUCCUGCUGCAUGGUGGGGGUUGGUAAGAUUCGGCGGUGGGGGCUGGACUCGCGGGUUAUCAGCUUGUUUGUCGGGUAGUGGCUUACCAAGUCUUUGACGGGUAGCCCGCCUGAGAGCGUGACCGGCGACCUUGGGACUGCGAGAGGCCCCAGACUCCUACGGGAGGCAGCAGGCGGGAACAUGACACAGUGGGCGGAAGCCUGAUGCAGCAACGCCGCGUGCGGGAUGACGGCCUUCGGGGUGUGAACCGCUUUCGCCGGUGACGAAGCGUUAGUGACGGUAACGGGUAAAGAAGCACCGGCUAACUACGUG